GUUAUCAAUGGCCAUUACAAAACAAAAAAACAUGACCGUAACUAGUCUAUAACCAUUUUUUCACUCCCUGCUCAUCCCUCCAGGUCCAUCCGUUUCACUCUGCCUACUCAUCCAUCUGCUCCAGUGACUUCGUCUGCAAUCAGGUAACUCUCCCCUACAAAAGAAUCAUAAUUUUGAAAUUAAAAACCUUAGGCUUACAGAGGAAGACGAUGUAGAACUUUUGUAUUUCUCCGAGACCAGCGAUUCAUGACACAAUUUCACUUGCUAAGAAUAUGAAGAUGAAGAUGAUGAAUUAUGUAGAUCUGACAGCGAUGAAUUCUAUAAAGAGAACGACACUGCAUUACCAGCCGCUCUUUUGAGGUACACCGUUAUUGUACAGGGUGGGGUCUAUAUAGCAGGUCUACUGAUACAUCUUGCCUCAUAUCAUAUAUUUGAGGAAUCUGUCAUAAUUCAACAAAUCUAUGGGUGUGGUAGUUAGAAUAUUGUAGAUUACAUUGAGUUUUUGUUAUAAUGUCGUUUUGAUCUGGUAUAUUCCAAUUCAGUUUAUGUUCAAUUUGAUUUUUUGCAUCUGGAUCAUACCGAAUUCGGAUCCCAAUCUGCUACAGGAUUCGCAAAUGUUUCAAGAUGAUGGAUGGUGCUGAAAUUGUUUGCAGUGAGGUGGUUUAUAAGGUGGAGGAGGAGAACUGUGGUUCUAGUAUGAAUGCAGCUGGUGGUGUUGCUACUGUUGAUUAUAAUGUCAUUAGUAAUAGUAAUUGUAACGGCAAUGACGGUUUCGCCUGUGUAUGUGAACAUGAGUGUCGAGGUGAGUGCUGGUGAGUUUGGUGAUGUAGGUGGUGUUAAUUUUGAUGGUGAAUUAGAGCAGUUUAAUGGUCAUCUUAUCUUGACGAGGUCUCGGGGGAACAGAAGACAGAUGUUAAGAGCACCGAAGAAGUGGAUGAUACUGGUUCAGGGCUUACCGAGUCCACUCUGAACAUUGUAUAAAGCUCUCGUGUGACUAGUUCUGAGUUUGAGUAUAACCUGCAUGAACUUGAUAAACAACAUCAACAAUUUGGACCCCAUUUUUAAAACAUUGUUUUCUACAUGUGUUCACCCAAUUUGUACCCAUAGCAAACGUCUAAAGUAUUUUUAUAUAUAAUUUCUUUAUUUUUUCCGUAAUUUUAUAAUUAGUCAUUAUAACUAUUUAAAAAUAUAUUUAAUAUUAAUUAAAAAAUUAUAUAAAAAUGGGUUCGUUUAGGAUCAUGAGCCGGCUCGAGCUCGAUAAGCGAAGCUCGGGCUUGGGCUCGUUUACUAAACAAGUUUGUUUUUAGGCUUGGACUCAAACUCAUUUAAGCUCGGCUCUUUUCGAGCGAGCUUAAGUAGCUCGCGGGUUAGCUCGACUCGUUUGCACACCCAUGGAACCACUCCGGUUUUGUUUUCAGGUUCCAUUUCUCAUUCAUUAGAUACUUUUGUUUGUAUCUGAUUUUUUCUAAUUAUCUUUUAAAAUGUGGGCACCUUUUUACUUGUUGGGAUGGAUCAUUUGGUCAGCUUUGGCUGGGUGAUUACAUGUGACAAAGUUCUCUGAUAAAAGUAUCACAUUUUGCAUCGAGGCAUGUUUACCAAAUCACGCUGGCAAAAAAAGAAAUUACCGUUGAAGGCCGUGAUGUGCCGAAACCUAUUAAGAUUUAAGACUUCCAGUGAUGCCAGAUUUGCAGGUGAUACCGCUACACCUGCCCUCUGGUGAUACAUCAAUCGAGAGAACAAUACAGAUAGAUAGAACAAGUGAUCAGAUCGAGGCUAAAAACCAAUGGUUAAUGAAAUUAUGAGUGAGAAUCGUGCAAGAAAGUCAAUGGGGGCCGGAUAUUCUCCGCACGGUUAUCAAGCCCAACCGGUGUGCCAUAACAGUCGGGUUCUAUAGAUGAGUACAUUGAAGUUGAAGAGAAACUGCUGGCCUAAAAACCAAAACCUUGGACUUUGUGCAUGCUGCUAGUCUCCCCUAUGCAAUUGGGACCAUGUAUAAUGGUCUAGAGCGAGCCAGUUUCUCAAAAGGUUUACUAUGCUGCUGAUUGUUCAUGGGGCUGGUAUGUGUUAUUGUUGGACACAUACAUCGCUUGCAAGCAUACUUGCUAGCAAUAACCCAACUUCUACUGUUGCAUAGAAUUAAACCCCAGCAGCACUAGUUCCAGCAAAGGUAAACAAGGCUUGAUCUAUCUUGUUUAUCUAUUGUCGAUGUGGCAUUGAGUCAGACAAGGAGCAAGAACAAGAAAGAAGCGUGAAACAGUUUUUAGUUUGUGUAUUGUCAUUUCCCUUUGCAACUUUUGUAGAUAGCUUUUGAUUACAAGUUUGUGUUUAAGUAUUUAAAUUGAAAACGUAUGUAUGGAUUUGGGUUUAUUAUUGUUAAUACUAUUUGGUUUUAGGGUUUC